ACAAAAAAGGAGAAGAGAGCAUGGCCAUGGCUGCUGCUCACGGCCAGCCAUGGCCAAGAAAAUUUUGUUAUUUUGUUGCUUUGAUUUAAUAUCAAGAUGAUUUGCAAGUUCAAGGAAGUAAUAGCAACAUUGGAUAUUGAAUCGAGGAAGAAGAAAUUGCGAAAUUGGAGCAAUUAAGAGUAGAAAUUCCUCCGAGAAAAUUUAGGCUAAAAGAGCGACAAGGCGAACGGGUUUGCGAAUAGUCGCUAACAGCCCCAGAUUGUUUGGCAGGUUAAGUAUACAGCUAGGAUGCUCUGACGUCUGCUGGGAUUGGCAAGUUCCACCUCAUUCUGGAGCUGUGCUGAGUCAUGUAUAGAUAUGUAUGAUUAUGGGUAUGUCAGGGCCCUGUCCUGACUCAUAAUGUCCAGUCCACUUCUUAGAGACUUCUGCAGACAGUGUCCUGUGGUAUGUUUGUUGAGAUGUCGACAAAGUGAUAUCAGUUGAGUCAUUUAUGGAUUUUAAAAGAGUAUGUAUUUCAGAUAAUUUAGAUUGGUCUAAAGUACUUAUUGAUUGAAAGUUUUCAUAAUCGUU